AGCGAACGCUGGCGGCAGGCCUAACACAUGCAAGUCGAACGAACCCUUCGGGGUUAGUGGCGGACGGGUGAGUAACACGUGGAAACGGGCUUUUAGGUUGGGAAUAACUCAGGGAAAUUGGUCCUAUUCCCGACUGGGCCCUUCGGGGGAAAGAUUUAUCGCCUUUAGAGCGGCCCGCGUCUGAUUAGCUAGUUGGUGAGGUAAUGGCUCACCAAGGCUACGAUCAGUAGCUGGUCUGAGAGGAUGACCAGCCACAUUGGGACUGAGACACGGCCCAAACUCCUACGGGAGGCAGCAGUGGGGAAUCUUGCGCAAUGGGCGAAAGCCUGACGCAGCCAUGCCGCGUGGAUGAUGAAGGUCUUAGGAUUGUAAAAUCCUUUCACCGGUGAAGAUAAUGACUGUAGCCGGAGAAGAAGCCCCGGCUAACUUCGUGCCAGCCGCCGCCGUAAUAC
rnacentral:rRNA from 1 species